GACGAACGCUGGCGGCGUGCCUAAUACGUGCAAGUUGAGCGCUGAAGGUUGGUACUUGUACCAACUGGAUGAGCAGCGAACGGGUGAGUAACGCGUGGGGAAUCUGCCUUUGAGCGGGGGACAACAUUUGGAAACGAAUGCUAAUACCGCAUAAAAACUUUAAACACAAGUUUUAAGUUUGAAAGAUGCAAUUGCAUCACUCAAAGAUGAUCCCGCGUUGUAUUAGCUAGUUGGUGAGGUAAAGGCUCACCAAGGCGAUGAUACAUAGCCGACCUGAGAGGGUGAUCGGCCACAUUGGGACUGAGACACGGCCCAAACUCCUACGGGAGGCAGCAGUAGGGAAUCUUCGGAAAUGGACGAAAGUCUGACCGAGGAACGCCGCGUGAGUGAAGAAGGUUUUCGGAUCGUAAAACUCUGUUGGUAGAGAAGAACGUUGGUGAGAGUGGAAAGCUCAUCAAGUGACGGUAACUACCCAGAAAGGGACGGCUAACUACGUG
rnacentral:rRNA from 1 species